rnacentral:rRNA from 1 species
UCAGACGAUGCGUCAUGCAUAUCAAUAAGCGGAGGAAAAGAAACUAACAAGGAUUCCCCUAGUAACGGCGAGUGAAGCGGGAAGAGCUCAAAUUUGAAAUCUUAAAGGGUUUCCCUUUACGAAUUGUAGUUUAAAGAAGUGUUUUCUGUUGAGGUUUUGGUAAAAGUUCUUUGGAAUAGGAUAUCAUAGAGGGUGAGAAUCCCGUAUUUGACCUUUACUUUCAACUUUGUGAUACACUUUCAAAGAGUCGGAUUGUUUGGGAAUGCAGUCCAAAAUGGGUGGUAAAUUUCAUCUAAAGCUAAAUAUUGGCGAGAGACCGAUAGCGAACAAGUACCGUGAGGGAAAGAUGAAAAGAACUUUGAAAAGAGAGUUAAACAGUACGUGAAAUUGUCAAAAGGGAAGCGUUUGACACCAGUGUUGUUUUUCUGAAAAUCAAUUAAAGAACUGUUUAUGCUAAGCGGUUUAGACUUUAUCAGCUAUCUGUUUAGUUUUGAGCUUUUCUUUAAUGCACUUUUCAGUUAACAAGUCAACAUCAAUUUCUUAUGCUGUAAAAAAGCUUGAGGAAGGUGGCUUGAGAUUCGUCUUAAGUGUUUAUAGCCUCUUGCCUAUGCAGUCGGAGAGAUUGAGGUCUGCAGCGUAGAUCCUUCGGGGCUAAAUGCAUUUGUGCUAAGUCAUAGCAUUUCAUAGACAACUUGUUGACUAUGAUUUGUCUUGUAGCUUACUCGCUUACGUUAUUUUACCUACGCUUAGGAUGUUGAAUCUGUGCGAGACUAC